AAAUCUAAAUCCCAGCUAAAGUCAGCCAAACAAAGGAAACUUAUCGCUGAAAUAUUCUGCCUUUAUAGCAACGACCCUAGCUCUAAUUUUUCACAUAGCUAAUAGUGACAGUGUUGGAUCAGACCCACAAGAUCAAAGCAUCUGGGAGGACGGCGAUGUGGGAGUUGCAGACAGAUGAAUAAAAGCAGCCAGCUUACUGCCUUUAUGAGUUACUACUGCCUAGCAGCUGAGCUCUGGAACACAGUGUCAACCAGGAAAUACCAUCUAGAAAGAAAUAAAUGUUGAUCUUCUACAUGCUACAUAAAAGGGAAAUCUUGCUGACAUCACUGCCAGAAAGAAUGGAGGAAAAAUAGCAAGAGAAAAGGAUCCAUUCCCUGCAAGAGAUGCUGAAUCCAGCAGUCUGGUAGAGGUGACGUGGCUGAAGAUCCAUGUCCACAGGUCCAGCUAGUGACAAGGCAGAACAUGUCAUCCCCACAGGCAUGCAAACACAUGUACAACAUGCAUACCCAUAUGACCAGACAAGCACACUCUGUAUGCAUCUAUUAACUGAUGUCAACUGACAUUCAGCCAACUCAGUAACUUGCCCUGGGACAUUCUCAUCCCCAGAUCCACCUGCAUUGAUACAUACAUAUAGAUGGGUCUCAGCCAAAUCACAGACCCCAUCGCCAACCCCUGCAGAUAGCUUGGACCUCCUGUAAUCGACCAGCACACACAGUGGUCUCUCCAGUGCCCAGCCCAGACUUGUGGCCACUUCCACAUCUGUCUCCAGGCCAUCUAACUACUAACUGGCUAGUCCAGCUGAAUAAUAAUGAUCACACACAGACAUACAUAUCUACACACUAUGCACUAUGCACAUGGUCCAAAAUUUCUGAGUGGAAAUAUGUGAAAAACUUGAAGGAACAAACAUCAAUCAGAAGAACGGCUCUGAAAGUGUCAUACACUGAUUUCACUCAGAAUAACAGCCCAUUGGAACCCCAGCAUUUUCAUUUGUAACUGUUCAGGACAGUCAGUGUGGAAGAGGAAGGACAUUAAGCAAAGUCAUAAAUGACCCACCUUGAGAACUGUGGGUAGUUUUGGGCAUCACCAUACAAAGGACUAUUUGAGAGUGUCCAAAGGAGGACUACAAAGAUGGUGAAGGUUCCAGAGGGCAAGGUGUAUGAAGAGUGGCCAAAUCCCUUUGUUUGUUCAGCUCAGAUGAGACUAAGGAGAACUGAGGUGGCCUACAGCUCCUUGCAGGGAGUGGAGGGACAGCGCUGAACUCUGCUCUCUGGUGACAACAACAGGAUCCAAGGAAACAACAUGGAGCUGCAUCAGGGAAGGGAGGAGAAGGGGAUCAGAUGAGGGGUUACAAAUAGAUUCUUCACCAGAGGUUGGUUGGGCCCUGGAACAGGCUCCCCAGGGCAGUGGUCACAGCCCCACGUUGUUGGAGUUCAAGAAGUGUAUGAACAAUUCUCUCAGACAUACACCCUGAUUUUUGGAUGGUCCUGUGUGCAUCCAGGAGUUGAACUCAGUGAUCCAUAUGGGUCCUUUCCAACUUGGGAUGCUCUGUGAUUCUGUGAAGUCUCAAAUUCUCACUACUCAUGCAGAUACAGAAGAAUGAAAAGGCUGCCAGCUUCCAAAGGGUACAAAAAGAAUAUUCAAAACUAGCACACGAUAACUCCAGUAAACAUGAGAGUACAGAGCCCUUCUCUCUCUAUGUCUUAGUGAGAAAUUAGACCAUCUGAGUACAAAUGUCUGGACUCAUGGACACAUAGGGGGACUACAUGGACACAGAGAUUUUGGUGGUCUGGGGUAUGUGGGUAAAAACUGUGAGUAAGAAUGAUUUACAUAGGUUUUGCUUAAAAAUAAAACCUCACCCUGAAUACCUCAGGUUGAGUUCUGC
ensembl:lncRNA